rnacentral:rRNA from 1 species
GACGAACGCUGGCGGCGUGCUUAACACAUGCAAGUCGAGCGGUAAGGCCCUUUCGGGGGUACGACGAGCGGCGAACGGGUGAGUAACACGUGGGUGACCUGCCCUCCAGCUCUGGGAUAAGCCUGGGAAACCGGGUCUAAUACUGGAUAUGACUCCAUGACGCAUGUUGUGGGGUGGAAAGCCUUGUGCGGCUGAGGAUGGGCCCGCGCCUAUCAGCUUGUUGGUGGGGUGANGGCCUACCAAGGCGACGACGGGUAGCCGGCCUGAGAGGGCGACCGGCCACACUGGGACUGAGACACGGCCCAGACUCCUACGGGAGGCAGCAGUGGGGAAUCUUGCGCAAUGGGCGAAAGCCUGACGCAGCGACGCCGCGUGAGGGAUGACGGCC